ACAUGUAUUUUGUCUCCAGGUAUGAAGUGGUUCGGACCCAUCCCAACCCACUACUACUGUGUGAUAACCAGUUGUCUGGACUUCUCCCAGGCUGAGGACAUCUGCACCGGACCUCUUAGUAGCUCUGCCUUCAUCCUACCACACGCUCGGACAACGACGAGAGCUGCAAUAGCUCUGAGGAGGAGUCUAAGUGGGUGGAGGAUCUGAUGAAGCUGCACACGGCCCGGGUCCGAGACGUAGAGAUCCUCACGGCCUGGACUUCUACCGUCGGACUAGCCGGAGUUACCCUGAAAUCCUCUCACUGAAGACUCACAUGCACACGUAUGAGAGCGAGAUCUAAAACCACUGGUCUACCUACCCUCUCCUGUCGACCUACCCUCUCCUGUC